AAUGUUUACUUCUAGCAACACUAUCCUGAUGCUGUCAGAGUAAGUGGUAAAGCUCCAGCAUCAGUGAUUUUGUUGUUAGUGGUAAAU
rnacentral:pre_miRNA from 1 species